rnacentral:lncRNA from 1 species
GCCAUCAAUGCCAUGGAGGGUAGCAAAAAAUGUUCACAAUAGUAAAAUGACUACCUGCCGUUGAUCAGUGAAGAAAAAAGCUCAGAGAGCUCAAGUGGAGUACCUAAGGCCACACAGCCAAGAGGGAGAGCCAAGUCGUUUGUGGUUAAAUGUCCUGCCUGUUUACACAGCAGCCCUCUAAAGGCGGAAAAACAUGUCAGAGUCCCAUGGACGGGAGAAAAAUAAGAAUAAUAAUAAAGUAGGAAAAACAGCCCUCUUAAGAGGAAGGCCAUCUUAAAGCUCUACCAGCUUCAGGUGAGGGCUGAUCCAGCAGAUCCCAGAGAAACAGGCUCACAGAGAGGGGAGGGGGCUUGUCUAAGCUUACCCAGCCCGGAAGCAUCGGGGUCAAAGCUUAACCCCCUGCUGGAAGGUGUCGAGAGCCAGGCAGCCAAGCCUGACCUGGGAGAUGGGGAAGUGGGGGCCCCCCCAAGCUCGCCGACUGCCCUUCCCAGCCUGCUGCCAGUCUGAUUCCACAGAACUGAAGUCGGGACCUGGAGUUCUGCUCAUUCGCUCAUCUACUCAGUGACUUUCUUAGACCCUCCCCAGCACUUUGAGGGUGUCAGUCACUGCUGCGUCCUCAGCACCCACGCCAGGGUCUGUCCCACGCCAGGUGGCCUGUAAAUAUGGGCUGAGCAAGCGAACAGUGAACGAGUUGGGAAUUCACAUCCUCCUCUGACUACUUGGGGCAGCAGCAGGGGACACAAGCAGGCCCCUAUGGCUUUGCCAGACCCCGGGUGCCGCCGCCCCCAUGGAAUUGCAGGACUGUUAUCUGAGCAACGUCGACGGGGGAGAACACCCCUGCCCGAGGUUAAAGAUAGCACCGCUCGAAUCACAUCACAGGCCGAAAAGGCCAGAUGACCCACCAGGGACAUUGAAUCCGUGUCCCGAGAGGGGUGGGGCGGGGGUGUGGAUUCCUGCGGGGAGCUUCGGGACUGGAAAAAACAGAGGGUGCUCUGACCGAGUGUUUACCAAAACAUGUAUUAGGCAAGACCCGGGCCGAAUGUGGGUGGCACCGCCCCUGUGCUGGGCCAGGAGAAUGUGCCCGCACCGGUCCCAGAUCCUGUUUCCCCAGUGGGUUGUACAAGACACCUUGAACUUCUGCAUGAACUGGGACAUUCAGAAUUCCCUGGAGCAACCCCCUCCCUCCACCCUGUGCCUUGAUAUCUCCUAUUAAAGCUUGUGUUUGAAUGUCUGUUAAUAGACAUGAUUUAAUUAUUGAUAUUAA